CCUACGGGUGGCAGCAGUGAGGAAUAUUGGUCAAUGGACGAGAGUCUGAACCAGCCAAGUAGCGUGAAGGAUGACUGCCCUAUGGGUUGUAAACUUCUUUUAUAUGGGAAUAAAACGUUCCACGUGUGGGAUUUUGUAUGUACCAUAUGAAUAAGGAUCGGCUAACUACGUGCCAGCAGCCGCGGUAAUACGGAGGCUCCGAGCGUUAUCCGGAUUUAUUGGGUUUAAAGGGAGCGUAGGUGGAUUGUUAAGUCAGUUGUGAAAGUUUGCGGCUCAAACGUAAAAUUGCAGUUGAAACUGGCAGUCUUGAGUACAGAAGAGGUGGGCGGAAUUCGUGGUGUAGCGGUGAAAUGCUUAGAUAUCACGAAGAACUCCGAUUGCGAAGGCAGUUCACUGGACUGCAACUGACACUGAGGCUCGAAAGUGUGGGUAUCAAACAGGAUUAGAUACCCGAGUAGUC
rnacentral:rRNA from 1 species